AAUAAAAAAAUCUUUGGUUGGGGCAACCACGAAGAAAAAUAAACCUUCGUUCUUAUUAUAAAUAAACAAAUUUAAAAUUUUAAAAUUUUGACCCAGAAAAUCUGACUAUAGAAAAAAGUUACCGCAGGGAUAACAGCGUUAUUUUCUUUAAGAGUUCUUAUUGACAAGAAAGUUUGCGACCUCGAUGUUGGACCGGGGUACCCAAGAGGUGCAGAAGCCUCUAAAGGUAGGUCUGUUCGACCUUUAAAACCCUACGCGAUCUGAGUUCAGACCGACGCAAGUCAGGUCAGUUUCUAUCUA
rnacentral:rRNA from 1 species